AAUAAAAUGUGUAUCGCUACGGGAAAAUGGCUUGUUGAUCCAUUAAAAAAAUACUUUAAAUAACUUAAAAUAAAUAAAUACAUGCGUAAUGACAAAAAUAUCGAAUGGCGAUAAAAUAAAACUAAAUAAGUAGAGGCUUUUUUGGCUCAUCGCUUUAUUUAAAAAUAAUAAAUUAAAAUGCGUAUUGCCACACUAGAUGAAAGUUUUGACUAGAUAAAAAUAAAUAAAUAAAUGUGUAUUGAAUUAAUAGUCUUUCGAAAUUCCAAUUAAAUUAAAUUAAAUUAAAUUAGUGAAAGGUGAACAAGUGAAAAGUUUAAAAGUAGAAAACAAGUAUUUUUCUCAAACACUUUUAUAGGCAGAUAACAUCACGUUUAAGUGAUCUUUUGUGGUAAAAGUGAUAUCAUUUCACAAAUGCUGUCAAUCGAGCUCGUACUGAACCCCUAAGCAUCCCUUUAAUGUUUGACUAAACUACUAAACUAGUUGACAGGACCCAACUAAACCAGAGCCAGGGCCAAAAGAGCAGAAAAAGAGAGAGAGAGAGAGAGACAGACAAAGUGAAGAGGACAAAUGCUGACAUCUGAAUGAAACUGAGUGAUCAGACAUAGAAGACCGAGAGAGACACGACAAAAACGACUACAGGAUGAACAGAGAAAAGCGACGAAGACGGCACACGGAUACAGACCAAACUGAGACACGGUAACAGCUGGAGGGAGAAAGAGAGACAAAAGACAGCGUAAGAGGAAGAGAGACGCUUUUUCUGUGAUGGAAAGGCAGAAGAUUAUUCGCAUGACUGAAGAGUCAAACAAAACCAUGAGAGAGACGUCAACCAAACCAGCACAGCUGCAGGAGAGAGAGAGCGAGAGAGAGACGCCUGGAAAGACAAGAAACCCUGCAGUCAGUCAGUCAGAGAGAGAGAGAGAGAGAGAGAGAGAGAGAGAGAGUUAAACUAAAGCACACACAGAGCCAGAAACGCUGGAGAUUAGUUCUACAGAAAACAAACCACGGAAAAAAAGAAAGACAAAGAGACCAGGAAGGAAGCGUUUGGUUUCCAGAGAGGUGAAGCUUUGAGGAGAAAGAGAGAAAAUGAGCGCUGGAAAGACAAAAGAGAGAGAAGGAGUAAACAAAUAGUGUAAAGGAACACAGCAAAUGGCACACGCAGUCGAACACAGAGAGCAGGAGGAAGAAGAGAGACAUUCGGGAGGAUCGGACUGAGUUUAGACUGGAGGGGGGCAGGCGGUGGGACGCUUCGCUCUCCAUUGAUUCAAACGAGGAAGAAGACUGGGAUCGAAAUGGCUUUUUGAAGCACAAAAAGAAAAAAAUAAUAGUACGAAAUGAGGGGGCGUGCAGAGCCCGGAUUCCCCCCCGCAUCUGGAAUAUGCUCUUCCAAGCGCUCUCGCCUCGAAAGUGGGCUGUUGGCAUGGCAACCAAGGGGCGACGAGUGUGUGUGUGUGUGUGUGUGUGUGUGUGAGGGAUGGAGGGCAGCAAACGGGAGACCAUAGUGCACAAACAGCAGACGAGGAGAAGGAUAUAUGACAGAGGCAUCGGAGUGUGUGUCAGCGCCGGCCUCGGGAGACGUACGCCACUUCAGUCAGAGGCCUGUAAAUUAGCCUGGAGAGCGGCGUCAGUCCCCUCCUCUCACUGGCACGACACCAAACACACUAAAUCACCCCGAUAACGCCACGCAGAGAGAGAGAGAGAGAGACACUCACGUCUGCGAUCACUCGCCGGCCCUCUAAAUGAUCAAAAACUAAUUCAGCCUGUGACUCACUGCCAUUAUCCAGCGCAAAAAAACAUUGCGCGAUGAUCGCUGGUUAGCCAGAGAGGAUUUCCCUGGAGAGUGUGUGCUGUGUGUUAUCUAGAGAGCAAUGCUUUUUAAUAAAUGAAUGUUUAUGUAAGUGACAAGCAUGAAUCGAAAUAAUAUGCUCCUCGCAGAGCAACUCACCAAACGUGCACACACACACACACACACACACACACACACACACACACGCACACAGAAAAUGAACAAAUCGGCUGCGUUCAAAAUACUAUUUCUGUAAUAUGCACAGUGAAUUUGAAGUAUUAUAUUAAUGGUUAUAUUAAUGACCAUUUAGAUGUAUAUUUUAUGCACAUUUAUUUGCACAUACCUAUUUUUUAAAUAUUAAUUAAAUAUUUAAA